AGAGUUUGAUCCUGGCUCAGAGCGAACGCUGGCGGCGUGCUUAACACAUGCAAGUCGAGUGCGCGUCCGUAGCAAUACGGAUGGCGCACGGCGCACGGGUGCGUAACACGUGGGCAAUCUGCCCUCGGAUGGGGGAUACCCCCGCGAAAGCGGGACUAAUACCGCAUGACAUUCCGGAGACUCCGGUCUCUGGAUUCAAAGGCCGCAAGGCCGUCUGAGGAGGAGCCCGCGCCCGAUUAGCUUGUUGGCGGGGUAACGGCCCACCAAGGCUUUGAUCGGUAGCCGGUCUGAGAGGAUGGCCGGCCACACUGGAACUGAGACACGGUCCAGACUCCUACGGGAGGCAGCAGUGGGGAAUAUUGCGCAAUGGGCGAAAGCCUGACGCAGCGACGCCGCGUGGGGGAUGAAGCUUCUCGGAGUGUAAACCCCUUUCGACCCGGACGAAUGACCCGCAAGGGUUUGACGGUACGGGUAUAAGAAGCCCCGGCUAACUACGUGCCAGCAGCCGCGGUAAUACGUAGGGGGCCAGCGUUGCUCGGAAUUACUGGGCGUAAAGGGUUCGUAGGUGGUGCGGCAAGUUGGAAGUGAAAUCUCUGGGCUUAACUCAGAGGCUGCUUUCAAAACUGCCGUGCUCGAGUGCGGGAGAGGCCAGUGGAAAUUGCAGGUGUAGCGGUGAAAUGCGUAGAUAUCUGCAGGAACACCCGUGGCGAAUGCGGCUGGCUGGACCGCAACUGACACUGAGGAACGAAAGCUAGGGGAGCAAACAGGAUUAGAUACCCUGGUAGUCCUAGCCCUAAACCAUCAGAACUUGGGGUGGCCCGCGUAGGCGGGUCGUCCCGUAGCCUAACGCGUUAAGUUCUGCGCCUGGGGAGUACGGUCGCAAGACUGAAACUCAAAGGAAUUGACGGGGGCCCGCACAAGCGGUGGAACAUGUGGUCACUUCA
rnacentral:rRNA from 1 species